UUUUUUUUACACAAAGUUUCAUAACUUGAAUAGUUUCUCGCUUAAAGUGUUUAAUUAAAAUUUUUUUUCAUUUUGUAGUCUCUUGGAUCUUGGAGUUGAUUGAAGUGUAUUUUUAAUAGCCAAAUAGAUUCACUUUUAUAUGGUUUAAAAAUUGUUGGGUAUAUAAGGGGCAUUUGAAACAUCAGAUUUUUGUAUUUGCUGUGAUUUUCCUACUGGCCGGUGUGCCAGGUACCGGAUAUCCUCCCGAACUGCAGGCAGGCCCGUCUCUUUCCUGUGAGAGUCACAACCGCCUCUUGGCGGAAGCGGAAACCCUUUCCUCCAUCACGUUUCGCCCCUUGCAGGCCGGAAGCAGGCCUGCUCGCCUGGGAGCAUGUUUGGUCGAAUCUGGGUUGGGCGGCUUGGUCGCAGUGUGCCUGUGCUAGACUCGCGGCGCAUUCAUCGCGGCGCCCACAGCCACUCCAGUUCUCUGGUUGUUCUCGCGCGCCAGGAGCCGUGGGCCAGGCCAUCAGGCCAUACAAGUGCUGCUAAAGCGGCCUCGCCUUAGGCUGCAUCAUCUCGGGGAUGUUUCACUUGUGUCUUCUCCCAGUUUCAGCCCCAGCCCCUCGAACCCACCGGGUCUCCACAUCGCACUCUGAUCAAUAUCCCACAGGACUCAGUGACCUUUGAGGAUGUGGCUGUGAACUUCACCCAGGAGGAGUGGGCUUUGCUGGGACCUUCCCAGAAGAAUCUCUACAGAGAUGUGAUGCGGGAAACCUUCAGGAACCUGAUGUCUGUAGCAGUCAUAUGGUAGAGAGUCUGUGAAGGUAAAGAAGAUGGUCAAUGUGAAGAAAUCUUAAGCCUUAUUCCACAUGGUAUAGUGAAGGCGACCAUGUGAAAGCAGUGUGUGUGGAGAAGGCAACAUGGAUCAUUCAUCUCUUAAUUGCUGCAUCAGAGCUGACACUGGACACAAAUCAUAUGAGUAUCAGGAACACAGAAGCCAGAAGCCACAUAAGCAGUGUGUGAAAACCUUCAGCUUUUGCCACUCCUUUCAAACACGUGAAAAGCCUCACACUGGAAAGAAACUCCAUGAUUGUAGGAAAUGUGGAAAAACCUUCAUUUCUGUUCAAA